UACGUAGGGUGCAAGCGUUGUCCGGAAUUAUUGGGCGUAAAGAGCUCGUAGGCGGUUUGUUGCGUCGGACGUGAAAUCCCCAGGCUCAACCUGGGAACUGCGUCCGAUACUGGAUGGCUUGAAUCCGGGAGAGGGAUGCAGAAUUCCAGGUGUAGCGGUGAAAUGCGUAGAUAUCUGGAGGAACACCGAUGGCGAAGGCAGCCCCCUGGGCUAACACUGACGCUCAUGCACGAAAGCGUGGGGAGCAAACAGG
rnacentral:rRNA from 1 species